AUGAACGCUGGCGGCGUGCCUAAUACAUGCAAGUCGAGCGAACGGACGAGAAGCUUGCUUCUCUGAUGUUAGCGGCGGACGGGUGAGUAACACGUGGAUAACCUACCUAUAAGACUGGGAUAACUUCGGGAAACCGGAGCUAAUACCGGAUAAUAUUUUGAACCGCAUGGUUCAAAAGUGAAAGACGGUCUUGCUGUCACUUAUAGAUGGAUCCGCGCUGCAUUAGCUAGUUGGUAAGGUAACGGCUUACCAGGGCAACGAUGCAUAGCCGACCUGAGAGGGUGAUCGGCCACACUGGAACUGAGACACGGUCCAGACUCCUACGGGAGGCAGCAGUAGGGAAUCUUCCGCAAAGGGCGAAAGCCUGACGGAGCAACGCCGCGUGAGUGAUGAAGGUCUUCGGAUCGUAAAACUCUGUUAUUAGGGAAGAACAUAUGUGUAAGUAACUGUGCACAUCUUGACGGUACCUAAUCAGAAAGCCACGGCUAACUACGUG
rnacentral:rRNA from 1 species